rnacentral:rRNA from 1 species
GAUGAACGCUGGCGGCGUGCUUAACACAUGCAAGUCGAACGGUGAAGCAGAGCUUGCUCUGUGGAUCAGUGGCGAACGGGUGAGUAACACGUGAGCAACCUGCCCCCGACUCUGGGAUAAGCGCUGGAAACGGCGUCUAAUACUGGAUAUGAGCUGCGACCGCAUGGUCAGCAGUUGGAAAGAUUUUUCGGUCUGGGAUGGGCUCACGGCCUAUCAGCUUGUUGGUGAGGUAAUGGCUCACCAAGGCGUCGACGGGUAGCCGGCCUGAGAGGGUGACCGGCCACACUGGGACUGAGACACGGCCCAGACUCCUACGGGAGGCAGCAGUGGGGAAUAUUGCACAAUGGGCGAAAGCCUGAUGCAGCAACGCCGCGUGAGGGAUGACGGCCUUCGGGUUGUAAACCUCUUUUAGCAGGGAAGGAGCGAAAGUGACGGUACCUGCAGAAAAAGCGCCGGCUAACUACGUG